rnacentral:rRNA from 1 species
GACAGAGGUGCCGAGCGUUAGGCGGAAUCACUGGGCUUAAAGCGUGUGUAGGCGGGUCGUUAAGGGUCUUGUGAAAUCCCACCGCUCAACGGUGGAACUGCUGGGCAUACUGGCGAUUUUGAGCCAGCUAGGGGCAGACGGAACAAGCGGUGGAGCGGUGAAAUGCGUAGAUAUCGGGAAGAACACCUGAGGCGAAGGCGGCUAUCUGGCGGUGCACUGACGCUGAGGCGCGAAAGCGUGGGGAGCAAACAGG